AGAGUUUGAUCCUGGCUCAGAAUGAACGUUGGCGGCGUGGAUUAGGCAUGCAAGUCGAGCGAGUCUACCUAGUAGCAAUAUUGGGUAAGUCGAGCGGCGUAAGGGGCAGUAAUACCUGGGAACGUACCCUGAGGUCGGGGAUAGCUGCUGGAAACGGCGAGUAAUACCCGAUGAUCUUGGAAAAGCAAAGGCUUGCCGCCUUAGGAGCGGCCCAGGCGAUAUUAGCUAGUUGGUGGGGUAAUGGCCUACCAAGGCAUAGAUGUCUAGCGGGUGUGAGAGCACGACCCGCGCCACUGGCACUGAGACACUGGCCAGACACCUACGGGUGGCUGCAGUCGAGAAUCUUCGGCAAUGAGCGCAAGCUUGACCGAGCGACGCCGCGUGCGGGAUGAAGGCCUUCGGGUUGUAAACCGCUUUGGUCCGAAAGAAAGGGUAAAACUUGAUCGAUCGGAGAAACAAGGACGGGCUAAGUUCGUGCCAGCAGCCGCGGUAAGACGAACCGUCCAAACGUUAUUCGGAAUCACUGGGCUUAAAGGGCGCGUAGGCGGCCGAGCGGGUCGUGGGUGAAAUCCCCCAGCUUAACUGGGGAACUGCUUACGAUACCACUGCGGCUCGAGGAAGGAAGGGGCAAUUGGAACUGUCGGUGGAGCGGUGAAAUGCGUUGAUAUCGACAGGAACGCCUGUGGCGAAAGCGAAUUGCUGGUCCUUUUCUGACGCUGAGGCGCGAAAGCCAGGGGAGCAAACGGGAUUAGAUACCCCGGUAGUCCUGGCCUUAAACGAUGAGAACUAGGUAGUGGGUCCGACCUGGGCACACUGCCGAAGCGAAAGUCUUAAGUUCUCCGCCUGGGGAGUAUGGUCGCAAGGCUGAAACUCAAAGGAAUUGACGGGGGCUCACACAAGCGGUGGAGCAUGUGGCUUAAUUCGAGGCUACGCGAAGAACCUUACCCAGGCUUGACAUGUGCGAAAGCGCCAAGUGUACCUGGCUGAAAGGUCAGGGAACCUCGCAAGAGGGGACUUGGUACAGGUGCUGCAUGGCUGUCGUCAGCUCGUGUCGUGAGAUGUCGGGUUAAGUCCCGCAACGAGCGCAACCCCUAUCGUCAGUUGCCAACAUUAAGAUGGGAACUCUGGCGAGACUGCCGGUCUAAACCGGAGGAAGGUGGGGACGACGUCAAGUCCUCAUGGCCCUUAUGCCCAGGGCUACACACGUGCUACAAUGGCUGGUACAACGAGCCGCAAAGCCGCGAGGCCAAGCUAAUCUCAAAAAACCAGUCUCAGUUCGGAUUGGAGUCUGCAACUCGACUCCAUGAAGCUGGAAUCGCUAGUAAUCGGAGAUCAGCACGCUCCGGUGAAUACGUUCCCGGGCCUUGUACACACCGCCCGUCACACCAUGGGAGUCGGUCGCUCCAGAAGUAGGAACCUCAACCGCAAGGAAAGGCCCUACCAAGGAGUGGUCGGUGACUGGGGUGAAGUCGUAACAAGGUAGCCGUA
rnacentral:rRNA from 1 species